CAACCAUCAAGCCCUAGGCUUGUGUUAGAGCCCUGCGGCCGCCCGCAGCCUCCUAAAAUCAGUGGCGGGCUUGCAAACACCCCGAGCGUAGUAGUUUACUCUUUUCUCUGGCGUGUAGCAGGUUCCGGCCGUGAAACCCCUCUAUAUUUUAA
rnacentral:misc_RNA from 1 species